CGUAAACUCUUCCGCCACAAAUGUCAAGUUUAAGUGUAAAAUCUUCCGCCACAAACGGCAAGUUUAAGAGCUUGCGACGUUUCCAACAAAUCUGAUGAGGCGGUUAUUCUGAAGACUUUGAUGGUGAAGCGGUGAUGAGAUGAACAGAGCUUGCGGUGAAAGGGUGUUUUCGGCGAGCAUUGGAGACUUAUCAAACACAACACACGCAGAUACACACAUGUCCUAAAAUUGGAUUUUUAUUAUGUAGAAUAUUCUACAAUAUUUUUCUUUAUUAUGAUAAUAUGUAAAAGUCCAGCUUGUUGGACUUAUUCCAUGAACCAAUUGUAGCAGCCUUAAUGGGCUUUCCAUUUCAAGAAAUUUAAC